rnacentral:tRNA from 1 species
GGAUGGGUGGCCGAGGGGUUUAAGGCAGCGGUCUUGAAAACCGCCGGGGGGCAACCUCCCGUGGGUUCGAAUCCCACCCCAUCCGCCA